rnacentral:rRNA from 1 species
AGAGUUUGAUCCUGGCUCAGGAUGAACGCUAGCGGCAGGCCUAAUACAUGCAAGUCGAACGGCAUCGCGGGUAGCAAUACCUGGCGGCGAGUGGCGGAUGGGUGCGUAACACGUAUGCAACCUACCCAUUACUGGGAAAUAGCUCGAAGAAAUUCGAAUUAAUGUCCCAUAAUAUCUUUUAGUGGCAUCACUUUUAGAUUAAAGAUUUAUCGGUAAUGGAUGGGCAUGCGUUUGAUUAGCUAGUUGGUGAGGUAAUGGCUCACCAAGGCUACGAUCAAUAGGGGGUCUGAGAGGAUGGUCCCCCACACUGGUACUGAGAUACGGACCAGACUCCUACGGGAGGCAGCAGUAGGGAAUAUUGGGCAAUGGAGGCAACUCUGACCCAGCCAUGCCGCGUGAAGGAUGGAGGCGUUCUGCGUUGUAAACUUCUUUUAUAUGGGAAGAAACGACUCUUGCGAGAGGCAUUGACGGUACCAUAUGAAUAAGCACCGGCUAACUCCGUGCCAGCAGCCGCGGUAAUACGGAGGGUGCAAGCGUUGUU